CAGUUCGGAUCGCAGGCUGCAACCCGCCUGCGUGAAGUCGGAAUCGCUAGUAAUCGCGGAUCAGCAUGCCGCGGUGAAUACGUUCCCGGGCCUUGCACACACCGCCCGUCACACCAUGAGAGUCGGGAACACCCGAGGUCCGUAGCCUAACAGCAAUGAGGGCGCGGCCGAAGGUGGGUUCGAUAAUUGGGGUGAAGUCGUAACAAGGUAAC
rnacentral:rRNA from 1 species